rnacentral:rRNA from 1 species
UCUUGGUCAUUUAGAGGAAGUAAAAGUCGUAACAAGGUUUCCGUAGGUGAACCUGCGGAAGGAUCAUUAAAGAAAUUUAAUAAUUUUGAAAAUGGAUUUUUUUGUUUUGGCAAGAGCAUGAGAGCUUUUACUGGGCAAGAAGACAAGAGAUGGAGAGUCCAGCCGGGCCUGCGCUUAAGUGCGCGGUCUUGCUAGGCUUGUAAGUUUCUUUCUUGCUAUUCCAAACGGUGAGAGAUUUCUGUGCUUUUGUUAUAGGACAAUUAAAACCGUUUCAAUACAACACACUGUGGAGUUUUCAUAUCUUUGCAACUUUUUCUUUGGGCAUUCGAGCAAUCGGGGCCCAGAGGUAACAAACACAAACAAUUUUAUCCAUUCAUUAAGUUUUUGUCAAAAACAAGAAUUUUCGUAACUGGAAAUUUUAAAAUAUUAAAAACUUUCAACAACGGAUCUCUUGGUUCUCGCAUCGAUGAAGAACGCAGCGAAAUGCGAUACGUAAUGUGAAUUGCAGAAUUCCGUGAAUCAUCGAAUCUUUGAACGCACAUUGCGCCCCUUGGUAUUCCAGGGGGCAUGCCUGUUUGAGCGUCAUUUCCUUCUCAAACAUUCUGUUUGGUAGUGAGUGAUACUCUUUGGAGUUAACUUGAAAUUGCUGGCCUUUUCAUUGGAUGUUUUUUUUCCAAAGAGAGGUUUCUCUGCGUGCUUGAGGUAUAAUGCAAGUACGGUCGUUUUAGGUUUUACCAACUGCGGCUAAUCUUUUUUUAUACUGAGCGUAUUGGAACGUUAUCGAUAAGAAGAGAGCGUCUAGGCGAACAAUGUUCUUAAAGUUUGACCUCAAAUCAGGUAGGAGUACCCGCUGAACUUAAGCAUAUCAAUAAGCGGAG